UGGGGAAUUUUGGACAAUGGGGGCAACCCUGAUCCAGCAAUGCCGCGUGUGUGAAGAAGGCCUGCGGGUUGUAAAGCACUUUAGGUGGGGAAGAAGGCUUUAAGGUGAAUAGCCUUAAGGAUUGACGGUACCCACAGAAUAAGCACCGGCUAACUCUGUGCCAGCAGCCGCGGUAAUACAGAGGGUGCAAGCGUUAAUCGGAAUUACUGGGCGUAAAGCGCACGUAGGUGGGUCCAUAAGUUUGAUGUGAAAGCCCUGGGCUUAACCUGGGAAUGGCGUUGAAGACUGUGGGUCUAGAGUCGGGGCAGAGGGUUGUGGAAUUUCCGGUGUAGCGGUGAAAUGCGUAGAGAUCGGAAAGAACACCAGUGGCGAAGGCGACAGCCUGGGCCCAGACUGACACUGAGGGGCGAAAGCGUGGGGAGCAAACAGGAUUAGAUACCCUGGUAGUCCACGCUGUAAACGAUGAGCACUGGCUGUGCGAAAGCUUAUGCUUUUGCGUA
rnacentral:rRNA from 1 species